AGCCAUAUAAGCAACCACAAUGGUGUUGGUAUUUCUUGAGCAUUUGUUUUGUGCCAGACUUUCUAAGUAUUAUUUAUCCUUCCUGAGUCAGUCGGGGCCCACCAAAGACACAGAAUGUAUCAAAUUGAUGAAUGAAUGAAUCUGUAAUGAAUGAAAAACCUCCAUCCCAGUCCUUCCCAUCCCCCAGAGGACACAUGAAGAUUGGUUCCAGUUUGGGAUUAUUACAAACAUUGCUUCAAUAAAUAUUUUUGGAUUUCUCAUUUCUGUGAGGCAAUAAGUCACUAAAAAUUUUUUUCUGCUUUGGCUGGGUUGAGCUGAGAUUUUUGCUCUUACCACUAAAGCACCUGGAACUCUAGGGAGGGUUGAGGAGAUUAUUUCAAAGAUCCUUCAAGUGUAGACAUUUCCUGAAGCCUUAAGUGGAGUGCAUACCAGCUGGAGGAAGUGCCCUGUAUAAGAAGGUAGGGAGCUCACGGAGAGGUUUAGCAGAGAAAGAGAGGGCAUGCCAGGCGGCAGGGACACAAUGGUAACCGAUGAUAAAACUCGCCCUAGCAAUGACCUCAAGCUUCAAGCCAGGUGCUAAGGCACCCACCCACCCCUCCAGAUGCAGCAUCAGCCCUGCCCAAGAGCCUAUUGGAAAGGCAGAAUCUCCUGCUCUGGCAGAUCUACUGAGUCAGCUCUGCUUUUAACAAAACCCCUAAGAACUUCCCUGGUGGUCCAGCAUCUGCCUUCCCAUAUGGAGGAAACAGGUUCAAUCCCUGGUAAGGGAACAAGAAUCCCGCAUGCAGC